GACAUUACAGAGUUGCGAAACUCCCUAAACCAUUGCGAACCCACCACUGAACAGUUGCUUCGGCGGGUGGCUGGCAGGGCCCCCCUAGCUGGGGCCGGCCGCCGCGAAACCCGCCGGAGGCACCCAAACUCUUGUUUGUUACAGGCCUCUCUGAGUUAUAGCACUUGAAUAAAGUCAAAACUUUCAACAACGGAUCUCUUGGUUCUGGCAUCGAUGAAGAACGCAGCGAAAUGCGAUAAGUAAUGUGAAUUGCAGAAUUCAGUGAAUCAUCGAAUCUUUGAACGCACAUUGCGCCCGCCAGUAUUCUGGCGGGCAUGCCUGUUCGAGCGUCAUUUCAACCAUCAAGCCCGGCGCUUGUGUUGGGGACCCGCGGCUGCCGCGGGCCCUGAAAGACAGUGGCGGUCUCGCUGUAGCACCGAGCGUAGUAACGUACACCUCGCUCCGGGCGCUGAGCGUGCUCCUGCCGUUAAAACCCCCCCUUUUUCAAGGUUGACCUCGGAUCAGGUAGGAAUACCCGCUGAACUUAAGCAUAUCAAUAAG
rnacentral:rRNA from 1 species